rnacentral:miRNA from 1 species
CAGUACAUGAGAGCCAUCAUUUUUGUUGUUGUUAUAUUUUUCAGCAAGGCAAGGGCUUCGAUGUCUUUUAGGAAUAGUUGAAUUUGGCUUCAUAUGAUU